rnacentral:rRNA from 1 species
CCUACGGGUGGCAGCAGUGGGGAAUAUUGGUCAAUGGAGGAAACUCUGAACCAGCAACGCCGCGUGAAUGAUGAAGGUCUUCGGAUUGUAAAGUUCUUUUCUAAGGGAAGAAGAAAGUGACGGUACCUUAGGAAUAAGCCUCGGCUAACUACGUGCCAGCAGCCGCGGUAAUACGUAGGAGGCGAGCGUUAUCCGGAAUGACUGGGCGUAAAGGGUGCGUAGGUGGUUUGACAAGUUGGUAGCGUAACUCCGAGGCUCAACCUCGGCACUACUACCAAAACUGUCGGACUUGAGUGCAGGAUGGGCAAUUGGAAUUCCUAGUGUAGCGGUGAAAUGCGUAGAUAUUAGGAGGAACACCAGUGGCGAAGGCGGCUUACUGGACUGUAACUGACGUUGAGGCUCGAAAGCGUGGGGAGCAAACAGGAUUAGAUACCCGAGUAGUC